GGCCACAGCCAUGUCACCCUGCAGCCCAAGACCGGUUACUCACUGUAGCUAAGCAGGGCUGAGCCUGGUCAGUACCUGGAUGGGAGACCACUAGGGAACACUAGGUUGCUGUUGGAA
rnacentral:rRNA from 1 species